rnacentral:misc_RNA from 1 species
CUGGACCCGGACAUUGGCGGACCAGGAAAAUGUGCUCCAUGCAUAGAAGGCACCUGAAUCAUAGAGCAACCAGAAGAUCCACCAACCAUAUCUGGCAUACCCAUCCCAAAACCCAUUCCCAUUCCCAUUCCAACACCCAUGGGUGAGAAUUGAGCCAUAUGAGCAGGAUGCAUGUGAAGCAUUCCGGGGGGCAACAUCAUUGAUGGCAUAUACAAACCAGCUCCCAUUGACAUAAUCUGUACUUGAAGCUGAAGUGUCUUUAAAUACUCGAUGGCCUCAUCAAGCAUUGAAGCUUUGUCCACCUUGUUGCAGUUUGGUAUGAGUUCUUGCAGGGCACGCAUCUUCUCAUUGAUCCUAUCCCGUCGCCUCCUUUCAGACAAAUUAUGUACUUCUGCUGCUCGGCUUCUCUUGGA